UACGUAGGGAGCAAGCGUUGUCCGGAAUCAUUGGGCGUAAAGCGCGCGUAGGUGGCUUCGUAAGUCCGUUGUGAAAGUCAAAGGCUCAACCUUUGAAAGCCGAUGGAUACUGCGGAGCUAGAGUACGGAAGAGGCGAGUGGAAUUCCUGGUGUAGCGGUGAAAUGCGCAGAUAUCAGGAGGAACACCCGUGGCGAAAGCGGCUCUCUGGGACGGUACUGACGCUGAGACGCGAAAGCGUGGGGAGCAAACAGG
rnacentral:rRNA from 1 species